rnacentral:rRNA from 1 species
UACGAGGGGGGCAAGCGUUGUUCGGAAUUAUUGGGCGUAAAGGGCGCGUAGGCGGUUUGACAAGUCUGAUGUGAAAUCUCUGGGCUCAACCCAGAGUCUGCAUUAGAAACUGUCGGGCUUGAGUUUGGGAGAGGGAUGCGGAAUUCCAGGUGUAGCGGUGAAAUGCGUAGAUAUCUGGAGGAACACCAGCGGCGAAGGCGGCACUCUGGGCUGGAAUUGACGCUGAGGAGCGAAAGUGUGGGUAGCAAACAGG